GCGGUGGAGUACGUUGGUUUAAUUCGAUGCAAACCGAAGAACCUUACCUGGGUUUGACAUGUGCGUGUUACUGAGGUGAAAGCCGAGGGACCAUAUCUUCGGAUGUGGAGCGUACACAGGUGCUGCAUGGCUGUCGUCAGCUCGUGUCGUGAGAUGGUUGGGUUAACGUCCCGCAACGAGCGCAACCCCUGCAUUCAGUUGCCAACGGUAAGGCCGGGCACUCUGGAUGGACUGCCGGCGACAAGCCGGAGGAAGGUGGGGAUGACGUCAAGUCAUCAUGGCCCUUAUGUCCAGGGCGACACACGUGCUACAAUGGCCGGCACAGCGGGAAGCGAGGGGCGACCUUGAGCGGAUCCCUCAAAGCCGGUCUCAGUUCGGAUUGCAGUCUGCAACUCGACUGCAUGAAGUUGGAAUCGCUAGUAAUCGUGGAUCAGCCAAGCCGCGGUGAAUACGUUCCCGGGCCUU
rnacentral:rRNA from 1 species